AAAGAAAAAGAAAAUGGAAUUUGAAAGUCAUGCAUUAAUGUUAUGACUCUGUCAAUGGUGGGUUUUUUUAAUCAUUGUUGUUGUUGUUUUGAGAGAAGGUCUCACUGUGUAGCCCUGGAACAUGGCGUGUAGACCAGACUGGCCUGGACCUCACAGAGAUCUACUUAGCUCUGCCUCCUGGGUGCUGGGAUUAUAUGCCACUACAUUUGACAUUUCUCAAUAUUUGAUUAGCAGCAUUGCAUGUGUGCUUCCGAAUAAAUGCAAUGAGCUGACUAAAGCAUGGUUAUGGAAUCCAGGUGCCAAGAACAGAGAUGCGAAUCAGUGAUAGGGCCUUUCCUUCGGUAUUAGUGGCUUUCUUAUUAAAAACAUUCACCGAAUUGUUUAAGAAAUGCAUUUAUGUUGUCAAGAAAUUCAGCCAGAUGCUGCUAAGGGAUCAAUACAGUAUCAGUUCUUAAGUGGAUAUUUACACUGAGAUUGGUUCCCGAAAGAUAUGCUUGAGUGUGAGAUGUCUCUAUAUCGACAGUUCUUAUAGACACAGCAGUAAAUUGAUUAUAUUGGAAGGCAGGUAUUUAUUACUGUUAAUUAAUUGGAAAAUUAACAGAUAAAUGUAGUAAGGAGAGAAGAGUUGAAAUUCUCACCCAAGAAGAUGACCACAAGUACUUAUCAUGGGUGAUGAAUAAUUCAUCUCCGAAAUUCUGGGUUAGUUCAGAGACAGAAAUCUGUUGUAUUAGCUUUUCUGGGACUAUUCCCAUGGAGACAUCAGCUAUCCCAAAAGGUCAUAUUCUUUGGAGUUUUGUGCUUCAUGAAUUUUGAUUGUUAUUACCAAAAAUAAAAAAAUCAAUGGCCAAAUUUACACUUUAAUUACAUAAAGAAACAUGAAGAAAUUUGCUCAAUUUUUAAAGAUAUGAAAGGAGGCAAUCAAUAUUAUUAACACAAUUUGUAAAUACUGCAGUUCCCAAGUCAGUGGUUCUGGGGAGCUGUCUCCAUGCCCAAGAUUGGACAGAUGGGCAGAAAUUGUAACUGGUCCUCUUGCUCUGAGCCAAUGAUUUGGACCAUGGUGCUUGUUGUUGUUAUUGUUGUUAGGAGAAGAAAUACUAUGACUCUAUAUAUUCGGGUUUUUUUCCCUGUUAUGGCUGUUUUAAAACUCAGGUUGUUUUAGUUAAGAGAAAAUAUAUAGGUUGUGAAGCAUAAAUACACAAGUGUGAGGUGCAGGAUGAAAUAGACAUGAAAAUCUUCUUAGUGCUCUGCUUGGUACACCCAGCAUGUCUUGCACUGCUAGUGCCUUAUGCCUUCUCCUCCAGUCCCAGGCUCAGGCUGCCGCCAUGCUCUGGCACAAGUGUGGAGGUCGGUGAGUGUAGUCAAUGUUCUUGGUUUAGUUCAGGGGCCUUGUCUCUGGACCUUCACUCUAGGGCUGCACGGUGUCCAAGAGACCCAAGAACUAUCAACUGUAGUUAAAUGCUAUUAGGGAUUAUUAGAUACACAGAGAGGUAGAAACCAAAUGACUGAUGUGAUAGAAAAUUUCAUGUGAGAUGAGUCUAGAUACAGGAUGAGAAUAUCUCAGCUGUUCUUAGAUUUGUGACUAGACCAUCCGAGGUUAAUAUUAGGAAGUUAGUGACUCAAAAAUGAACCCAAACAAUAUAGAAGCAGCUAGAAAACAGAAAGUACUAGUCCUGGAUCCAUGAUGACCAAUGGUGUCAUAUAAAUCAUACAUAAUGCACACAUGUCAGAAACAGGUCUACAUGGAAAAAACUAGUCCAUUUCUUCUGUUUUAAAGUGCUUCUGUAGUCAGGCUUAUGUAACAGAUUUUUUUAUGGUUACAUAUUUUUAUUCUAUUUUCACUAUGGGAUUAAUGUGAAAAAUCAAUUCGAUAAAAUAGAUGAAACAACAUCCAUUCCACAAUGCUAAUGGGAAGUAUAUUAAUAUAUAUUGAAAAUGGGGUAGUCCAAGGGGAAAUUAAUGGAAUGUGCAUUUGACCACGUGGCUAAUGAUGGUCUAUAUGUCACACAAGUAGUUAGUAUUCUCUACCAGUCUCAAGUUUAGAAUUGUUCAUUUUAUUAGAAAUGAGAGAUAUAUACUCCAUAUGAUACUAAGGGAAAGCCAAGAAGAAAGGAUACAUGGUAGGGAGGUCUCAGGUUCAUUAUCUCUUCUUUGCUCCAUACUCAAGAAUGACCAUACUGUGUGAGUGGAGGGUCAUCCAAGGUCAGGAGUGCUGCAUUCUGAUGAGAAUAAGAGUGACACCAAUGUGAACUAAAGGCUUCUUGUCUUGCUUUGUGUGGUUUGAGAUACCAUUUAACAAGUAUUUACAGGGUAGUUAAUGAUGGCCAACUGAAUAUCAAUGGCACAAAUAAGGACUGCAUAAAAAUUUUUAUUCAUAAUGAAAAUGUGGAAAGUGUUGUGGAUUAAUGUAAUGAAUAUGUUAAUGUUAGAGAGAAUCCAUGUAUAGAUUAGUAAUGAUAGCACCCAUUGGAAGUGGUUGUAUAUCAUAGGGUUUGUAAUUAUAUUAACUGAUCAAAUAAAAAGUAGAAAUUAGUAUAGAAAAGAAGAUUUAAUCCUGGAUCACUGAUGAUGUAUAGUGCCAUAUGAGUCACACACAAUGGACUCUGGGUCCAGCUUCUUUCCCAAUUUUCUAUGUUUGGAAUAAUUCUGUCAGUAAAAUGGAAUGUAUUUUUUUUUUCAGUUUACAUGUUCAUUUAUUUCCAUCCUAUUAGUUUGAAAGCAUUGUUGUCUGGAUGGAAAUAACUUUUAUACUUUUGUGUGCUCUUUGGCUAGAGAUGAGGUAGACAGUAUAAUUAAUAGAUAAUAGUCAACAUUUGGGUCAAGGAAAGUAGCAUAAAGAGCCUCCAAAUAAUGACUUCCUAAAUAGCCAACUGAGGGGAGAAUGAUAAGCAGAACUAAAAUAGAUUAGCCCAUCUUUUUAAUGAGCUGUUUUGCUUUGAUGUCCUGGGCCUGGAUGCUCUGAGCCAGGGGACACAUCUUGCCAUGGGCUUGAGCUCCAUGGUUACAUGCAUGUGUCAAAAGCACGAAAUGGUGCAUAAUAAUAUGCUGUGACUGCUUUGACUUUUAAAAAGAAUGAAAGUUAACCAGAGAAGCUAAAAUAUGCCUACGGUAAACAUUAGACUGGAAGUCUAUAUUGCACUGAAUUCUUUGUGUAUGAACCACCUAGCUUAGUUUACACAAUACAUCUGAACUCUCUGGAAGCAAUGAUAAAGAAACAUCUUAGUGACUGUUCAAGGGUCUACUUUUUAUUACUUUUAUUUUUUAUCUAUGAAUGAAUCAACAAACUAAUGUGAAAUAGAGAAAGAGGAUCAAUUUGAUUGUUACCUAAAGUCAACUUCCUAUAUCUACCACACCAAAGCCAUCUAACAGUGACUCAGCAUCCACUGAUUCUCCUUUACUACCUCUGCCUCUCUACAACCUCCCCUGUCUCUGCUAACUACCAUUCAACUCCCAGCUUCCCUGAGGUCAGUUUUCAACAUGAAUGAGUUCAUGUACUUCUUGUCCUUCUGUGCCUGAAUUAUUUCUCUUUACAUUAAUAUCUGUGGCUUGAUCCACAAUGUCAAUUUUUUUAAUAAAAAUUAAUUUGUGUCCAAAUAGAAUCUAACAAGGGCUUAAGAGCCUAGUUACUUGACCAUGCUCCAGUGUUGGAUUCACACAUAUUUGGGUCACACUAAUUUUAGACUCCAUAUGUUAUCUGAGAAAAAAGUUGAGAGAGACACAGGGGUCAUCCCAGAGGGAGUGCAUUGUUGGAUAUGAAGAAAAUACAUUAUAUACAUAUAUGAAAUUCUCGUAGAUUUUAUAUAUAUAUAUAUAUAUAUAUAUAUAUAUAUAUAUAAACUUGAAAACUCAUAAUAAUACAGAAAACUGAAAAGAAAAAACUCAUCAGAAAGACAACAAAUAAUUGAAUUUAAAAUGGUAAUUGUACUUUGGUCUCCUUUGAAAGAGAGCAAGGUCAGAUGUGCCAAGUAUCGUAUUCUGAGCUUAUGAAUCAUGUUUGUUGAUUUACUUUAAUUAAUAGCUUAGAAUAAAAAUAGAAAUGCUAUAAUUAAAAAGGCAAAUAAGAACCAGUGUUGGUGGCUGUUGUCAAAUGAGCCUUGUAGGGUGAAUAAAAUAUGCCUGGACUCUGGAGUCAAAUGCAAAAGAAAUAUUGUUCAUUGUCUCAUUAGAAGGUGUCUUCAAGACAGACUUGGCAAUAUCCAAGGCUCUUGGUCCUGGCCUUUGUGUCAAAAUUAGAUGAAUGAGAACAUCAAUCACUCAAUUAAUGAAAUACUGUCUAACUAUAAAAAUACAUGUCUUGGCACAUUAUAAUGUGUUAAGAAAACAGUAAGAUCCUGAUUUAGAUGUCUGACUCCCUUACUUGCCCUUCUUUGGCUAAAGAUAGUUCAGACUCUAUAUGGUAAAGCCAGUGUUCUCAGUAUAUGGAAAGUUUAAAAUUCUUUCAUUAAAAGAAAUAAAAACAAAAAUGAAACCUUACACUGUUAAAUUAAUGAGUGUAUAAAUGACUCCAAAGCACUUGUUCUCAACCUGUGGGUUGCAACUUUUUCACAAGGGUUACAUAUCAGAUAUCCUGUAUAUCAGAUAUUUACAUUACGAUUCCUGACAGUAGCAAAAUCACAGUUAUGAAGCAGCAAUGAACAUAAUUUUAUGGUUGGGGUUCACCACAACAUGAGGAACUGUAUUAAAGUGUUGCAGCAUCAGGAAGGUUGAGAAUAACCACUCUAAACCAUAGAUAAAGUUAAGGGCCAAUGGGGAGAGUGCCCAAUUCGGUUGUCUUAAAUUUUUUUAACCAUGUGUUCUUUUUCCCUGCUCUUCCCCAUGGUCCCGUGUGAGCUGAUGAGAUUCUCCGUGGUAAAGUUCUCCAUGGUCCAUCUCUGUCAGAAACCUGGAGGAUGAUGUAAGUAAUAUUUAAUAAUUAAGUUGCCUGAUAAUCCAACCAACUGGUAGCUGUUGUAUUUGUGUCAAAGGGACACCUGUUCUCACACUCACUGCAGUGCUGUCUACAGGGGCCGAAGUGGGACAGACUUGAGUAGCCAUUAGCUGACAAAUGGAUAAAGAAUGUGAUAGAUGUCAUGGGACACUGCUCAUCCAAAUAAAAGUUAACUGUACCCUAACAAGAGAUUGAUGUCAGUUGUCAUUCCUGAUUGAUCACCUCCACACUGAGGCCAAUUAACAAAAGAUAAAGUCUCAAAUGGAUAGGAUUCUACAGACAGAUGUUAACCUGUCAAGCAUCAUGUUUAUUUUUGUGAAUCAGGCUAUUUUAUUGAUUUACUUUGAUUAGUGACUUAGAAUAAAGUAAAUUCAAAUAAAAAGUAGGAGGUUAAAACAUGAACCAAUGUUGAUAGCAGGUAUUGAGAGUGGGCCUUACACACUACAUGAAACAUCUGGACUCUAAUAGCCAAUAAAAAUGUAAGAUAGUUCAUUUUCUUGGUAGAAGAUAUCCUCCAGACUGGUGGUUUGCACACUGUGGGUCAUGAAUCCUUUGGGGAUUGAAUAACCCAUCACAGGGAUCACAUGCCUGUGAGAUGCCUUAGCACAGUAGUUCUCAACUUGUGGGUCACAGCCUCCUAUGGGAACACCAAUCAGAUAUCCUGCAUGUCAGAUAUUUACAUUACGAUUCAUAACAAUAGCAAAAUUACAGUUCUGAAGUAGUAAUGAAAGUAAUUUUAUAAGUGGGGGUCACCACAACAUGAAGAACUGAAUUAAAAGAUUGUAGCAUUAGGAAGGUUGAGAACCACUGCUCUAAACGUAUUUAAAAAUAUCUAAGGACCCAGAGGCUGGUACCUGUGUUUAUAUUUGUUGAUUAUGCGAUUAAAAUUAAGCAGUGAAACUAUUAUUCAAUCAAUUACUUAUGUAUUAAUCAAAUGUAAACAUGAAGUAUGUCAGGAGCACUUUGAUAUGUUGUUAUAAAAACAGUAAAGCACAGUGGGAAAUAAAUAUAACUCCUAUACUACCAUCCUCAGCUAACAUAGACAUUAGAUGUUCAAGCCUUGUUUAUCAUCUAGAUAUGGGGCUAUUUUAAAGUUCUUUUUAAAUUAAAUUGUUUCUAUAUAUUUUGUUAAGGUAAAAGCAUGCUUUAUUAAAUUAAUGAGUGAAUAAGUCAAUUCAGAAAGCAAAGCUAAAAACCAAAGGUCUAUAAAAAGAAUGUCCCAGCUUUUCACUUUCUUUAUGUUUAUCUGCUCUGCUCUGUGUUCUUCCCAAUGGAAUCAUCUGAGCUGGGGCUGGAAUUCUCCAUGGCUGGUGCUCAGCAGUGCAUUUCUCACCAGAAUCUGGAAAUCCAAAGAGGAUGCUCUUGGGAAGACUACAUGUGGAUGUUCUCCUGAAGAGUGGCAUAUUCUUCCAUGAUAUAUUGAAAAGACACUGAAGAUUAGAUACUGAGGAAGAAUUCAAGGGAAGAAAUAUCAGUCCCUAGAACCAGGUGGCAGACAGCUGCAGCAAUGGUCCUCCUGUGGGCACCUGUGGACAGAAGAGCCCACAACUCAUGGUGCAAACAUUCAGACUUCGAGACCAUCUCCACGCCCCCUAACAGACACACACAGGAACUCUGCAUGUCCUGGGGGCAUCGAGAGUGCUCAGAGCCCUGUAGACUGAGAGCCAACCAUCUGAUCUUCUUCUGUGACCAGAUUAUAGAGGAGACCAGAGCGAUGGCACCAGUUUGCUGAGGUCGAGAGGGCCCGGGCUGCCUUGAUUUCAGUCCAGAGCACCUGCUGGCAGACAGCUACAGCAUUGGCCCUCCUGUGGGCACCUGUGGACAGAAGAGCCCACAAGACUCAUAGUGCCAGCGUUCAGACUUCGAGACCAUCUCCACCCCCCUAACAGACAUACAGGAACUCUGCACGUCCUGGGGGCACCGAGAGUGCUCAGAGCGCUGUAGACUGAGAGUCAACCAUCUGACCUUCUUCCGGGACCAGAUUAUAGAGGAGACCAGAGCGAUGGCACCAGUUUGCUGAGGUCGAGAGGGCCCGGGCUGCCUUGAUUUCAGUCCAGAGCACCUGCUGGCAGACAGCUACAGCAUUGGUCCUCCUGUGGGCACCCGUGCACAGGUCCACCAUACUGAUCACCCUAGAGUGCUGACUUGGAAACAUCCACACACAGUCAUACACACACACACACACACACACACACACACACACACACACACACACACAAAUGCACAUUCACAGUCUGCUUGCCCUCUGGUUCCUGUGAUUUCUCAUAGCCCUGUGAACUCACAGUCAACUGUCUGACCCUCCUGGGAUAUCAAAUUAUAGAAAGCCUGCCUGACUUACUGAUGUUUUCAGAGACUGUUCCAGUCUUCCAGUGUUUUUCUGAUGCCACUUUGACAGCCUGUGACAAACUAUGACUGUUACCUACUUUUGACUCACACUUUGGUUGGAUCUUGUGGGCGUGUAUAAGCUGGCAGUGAAUUCCCUGUAUAUAAACUGCAUCCAGAAUGGCUGCUCCUGCGGUGAGUCCUGCCUUCUCGUGGUCCCCAGUGCAACAUCUCUGUCUCUGCAUUGUACUUUGGACAGUGAUGGACCAUGUAAUUAGAGGAUUCCCCCAAAGGUCAAGGGCUCCAUUCACACCCUGCUGAAGAGGAAAACAAGACCAGUAAUGAAUUCUUCCAAGGUGAUCUGUUCAUCUUCAAUGCCUGCCAGCCCAUCAGUUGCUCAGGAUGAUGUGAGAUCUGGCCAACAUUCUUGUCAUCAUUUUGAUGGAAGACCUUUGCUGACUUGGGGAUGUCUCCACGGCUGGGAGCUAUGCUGACAUCAUGGGUAGAGCUGGACAGACCACUGUGAAGAUUGGCCAGGAUUCCUUCUUCAGGUUUGAUGGUUUACUUAACAGAACUCAAUGUGUGACUGAAAAAUAUAGUAUGGCACCAAGGAUGGCUGCUCCAUACCAGUGAGAGCCACAGAAAUGAAUGGAAGUUGUCAAUUAAUUUAUCAAACCCUAAGGAUAAUUACUUAAGCUUAGAACAACUCCACACAGAGUAGGAAUAAGAAAGAUUUGUAGAGUUGUUGGAAUAAUAGGUCCUCAAAUUAUUUUUAGAUGAUUAUUGAACUAAUUAGCAGACAAUAAAGGAGUAGUGACUAGAAAAAGUCAUGAUUGAUAAUGAUCACUGGUGGCACAUGAGCCACAUGGAUGACUGCAUUUCUGGAGCCCUGAAGGUCUACCAAAGAAGAACUAUAAUCUAUUUCCUUCAUUUCAAGUGUUCUUGUAGGACUGUAGAAUAUAUUCAAUUUUUUCUGAUGUUAUAAAUUCCAUUCAUUUUUUAUAAUUUUAUCAAUGUGAGACUCAGUCAAUUAGUCUUCAAAAUAAAAUAGGUAAAGCAUUGUCUAAUUCUCAAAAUAUGAGAGCCAUGAAAUAGAUCAGUAUGUACAGAAUACAUUAUGCCACCUUUAAAACAUAUUUUUUUCUGUUGAUGACAUCCUAGCAGUGUAAAUUACAUACAAUGCCACAUUCUGAGCAAGUUUGAAAAUUUCCAUCUUUUUAAAAGAUAAGAUUAAAUAUAAUCUUAUCCAAAAGUGGUACCCUGAAUGGCCAGUAGUAGGUGAAAAGCACAAGACAUUACUAGGAAAGUUUUUUUUAAAAGUUAGUUUUGUUUUCUCUGGUCAUUAGUCCCUGGAGUGGACAUACUGUGCGAUUGGAGCAUCCUCCAUGGCUGGAGGCUCUGUCUGCCUGCACUGAGGAAUGUGAGCCAUCCUGAUUAUCCUCCAGUGUUAUCUUGUUUUGAGUGAUUUGCUUAAGAGAAUUCCAUGCAUUAUAUCACCAGGCAUGGUGACACAUGCCUUUAAUCCCUGGAGGUAUUUAAUUCUCGAGUCAGAGGCAGGUAGAUCUCUGAGUUCAAGGCCAACCUGGUCUACAAAGCCAAUUCCAAGACAGCCAGACCUACACAGAAAAACCCUGUCUCAAAACAUCCCUCCUCAAGAAGAAUACUCAAUACAUCAUUUUAAAGUAUAUGAUUAGUGAUGACCAACCCUUUCCCAUUGAUUGAUCAGGGAUGGAUAUUAAGUCUUCUAUUGGUUAUACAUUAUGAAUGCCAGAAUGAAUUACUAUUAAUAUAAGAAUACUCUUUAUACAGAUUAGGAGUAUCAAGUGUGUUCUUGGUGUUUUAUGACUCAUGGGACUUACCAUUUAUUUCUAACAUAUCAGUGCAUUAAUGGAUAGGAAGGUAUAAACCAGUGAAAUAGAUGGUCAACCUUGGAUCAUUGUUGACUGCUUACCAGUUGGUACAGUGAGUGCAUUUAUACAUUCUGAGGUCCAUUACAAUGGUUCCAUAGCCCAUUGUCUGUAUUUGAAAUGGUCAAAUGCCUAGAUACCAGGAAUAUACAGUGUAGUUCAUUUUGGUCUUUAUCUUAAUAUAUUUUCAUGAUCGGUCAAUGUGGGAAUGAAUAAAUAUAUGUGCAAAUAAAACCAAUGGAUAUAGUUAGGCAUUGUCCAACUAUAAAAAUAUAUGAUAAGUUUGGAGAAUUGUUAAUAUACAGAGAAAAUAGCAAAUUCCAAAGAAAAAGUCACUACUCUUACCUCUCUACCUAAUGAUAUAUAAACAGUACAAUUAAGAGUUUUCAAAUUAUUGCAGUAGCUAAUUUGAAAUUAUUUAUUUUCUUAAAAAAUAAAUGACUCCAAGUAGUGCUUGAUCGAGUAAAAAAGCUGCAAAGCAAGGAUGAAGAGUGAGGAUGUCUUAAUUUUGUCAUAUUCUGUGUGCUGUAUGUCUCAGAGUGAAGGAACUAUGUGACAUGAUGGGAGUAUCUGCCAUGGUCAAGGGCUCUGUAGUUUCCCGAGAAGAAGUGCAUGUUGGAUGUGAGUUGAAGCCAACAUUCUUUUCUUGCUAUGGGUAGUUUGCUUAAGAUAAUCACUGUAUUAUUACGAAGUAUGUAAUAUACCUAACAGUGGCCAACAUUAUGCCAGUGCCCAGUAGGGGUUGAUGCAAAGUAGUCUAUUGAUAAGACAGACAUAAAACAUUGAAGAUAAUUAAUUAAAUAGCCACACUAAUGUUUCAGUAGCUCUGUAUACAAAUUAGGACUAGAAGGGCUCUUCUGCAUCUUGUGCAGUUCGUAGAGACGACAUUGGUACUAAGAUGAUGAAUUACCCAACAGACAGGAGAUGAAUGGAGAAGCAUAGGCUAGUCCUUGAUCAAUGAUGACCACUGUGGUAUGGAAGUCAUGAAUGAAUACAUAUGUGGUAUUCUCAGAUCCGUCCCCAAAGAUUAGUGCAUUCUUUGUUUUGAAUUAUCCUCUUGAUAAGUGUCAGGAAUUAGAACAUAUUACAUUUUAUAAUUUGUGUUUAUGCAUUUUUAUUCUACUUUUAUGAUUGGGCCAGUGUGAGAAGUAAUAAAUAAAUUAAAAACAUCAAUUAAGCAAAGUCAAAAUUUAAAAUAUAUGAUGAAACAAAAGUACCAUCAGUAGAUUUUGAAAUUAGUAUGUGAUCGUAUACCUACCACCUCUUUGGCUAUGAUGACACCAGCAGUAUAAAUUGUAGAAGUUGUCUACUUCUAGGCUACGGGGGAGUUCAAAAGUCUUCAUUUUUCUCUCAAUAGAAAAUGAAAUAUGUGCACUCUCAAUUAAUGAUUGUUAAACAGAUUGUUAGUAAAAGCUGAAAAGCGAUACUCAGUGGAGAGGAAACAGCAUUUUCUUUGUCAUGAUUUCUGCGCUUUGCCCCUUAGAGUAGGUUAGGAAGGAGAAUUCCUUAUUCACACCUGGAGGCCAAGGUAAGAAUUAGACAACAAUUCUUGUUUUUACUUGUGUAGUUUUUUAAUAACGUAAUCAAAUAUGAUAUUUAGACCAUGGUAUUAGUCUAUGUCAUUAUUUAGUGGCAGAAAGCCAUGUGCAGGCCAGUUUCUAAUGUGGAAUGGACAUGGAGCAUUCCACUGGCAGGCACAUGUAUGAAAAGCUGAGCAAUGUGAUGGUGAGGUAAAGUUUUGAGAAAGAGCCUAUAACGGAUUAUAGCAAGGGCAAUUAUCCAAUGGCAAACCUCUUGGGUUUCUGUGAGCCAUACUAAUUAAAAGUUACCAAUCAUGAAUUAGUGAGUUAUUAACUAAACAGGGUAGCAGUGAAAAGAGACCAGUCUUCAUCCUGAGCUUUAUUGUGACUCUAUAUGGGUACGUGUCUAGAGCUGAGGUCCACCACAGAAGUAAUACAAACCCCCUGUCUUGAAGUUACAGUGUAGAUAGAGAUGAGAAAAAUAUGAGGGCUUCAUUUUUCCUUUUGUUAAAAAUGCAUUUUCAAGCUAAUACUACACAUAGUUCAAGGAAAGAGCCAUUAUCCAAAUAGAUAGAUAAUAAUGAAUAGAAAUAAGCCUUAUUCAACUAUAAGAAUAUUUUGCAAGGCAAUCAGACAUUUCUAUUUACUGAAAACACUGUUCUGCACCAGGUAGGAGACCAGCAACAGAGUCUGUGUCUAUGUUACAGCUGACACUGUUUGUUUAUACAAGAGAAAUCAAAUAAAAGACAUCCCAAAUUGUCUAAAUGACUGACUAAUGAAAGAUCGAAUACAAAGCCAAUGCAAAUAGGGUCUCAUUCUUGCUAAUGAUCUUCUUUGCUCUGUAUUCCUGAAAGAACACAGUUGUGCUGAGCCAGUCUUCUUCGGUCAGGUCUGUGGGUGUGUCCAUGGGUGUGAAUAGUGUAUUUUCUUGAUUUUUUAAAGCCAUUCACACACACACACACACACACACACACACACACACACACACACACACACACAAUUAAAGUGUGAAUUAGAACUAUUUGGAAGACAUUUUGACUCAUUUGUGAAAAUUGGCUUAAUAUAAAGCAUUAUUACACUGACUGAUGUGUGCAUGUAUCCAAAAUUGAGUUUAAUUAAGAAUAGAGAUAUUGUUCUAGGCGGUAAUUGUGCAGAAGGGUGUUCGGCCUGCUCAGGGAUCACAAGUUUUGGUGAUUAUUGCAUGAUUAUUUGUAGUGAGCUUAUUGAUACAGCUCCAUGCUCAAUAAAACCAUGUGAACAUGAAGGAAGAAUGCAAGGACCAGCUUGAGCCCAUAAUAGUGGUGUUGCUAGUGUAGGAGUUUUGGACCAUGAAGCGUAUUUAGAACACAGACUUCCAAUACAAUAGGAAUCUAAUCUCUGUUCGGGGAGGGAACCUGUAGAAAGAUCUUGAGAAGUAUCCAUGGAUCUCGUGUUUAUGUUGACUAGAAAUUUGUCCGUGAGAGUCAGUGAAUAGAAUGGAAAUGAUAAGAUAUGGCAGAGGGAGCUGUGUUCCAGCUCCUAGGUGAUGUGUCAAAGGAAGAACAGUGAUAGACUGUGGAAGGGAUGAUAAAUGGACCAACAGGUUUUGCUCUGUUUCCAAGUGUCAGUAGCGACUGAUGUCUAGGUGAGAAUAUUACCCUGGGUUCACCGCAAGUUCAGAGCUCAUUUUAUCAUAAGACAAAUGCCAUCAUUACCAUGAGUGACCACUAAGUGCUCACUAAAUGCCGUCACAAAGUUAAAGAGUCUGGGUCACCUUGGCAAUGAGCAAUGUGCCUGUGGCUACAUUAUUUUUGCUACUGUCUUAAGUGUAUAAAAAUAGUGAGUUUAUGGUUUUAAAGAAUAAAUGACUAAGGAUAAAAAUCAACACACUAAACUGGAAAUAAAUGGCACAGUAAUAGCAUUUCUUGAAGUAACAGUUAUAAUUUAUCUAUUUUUCUCUUAGUUUAAAAUUUUUCAAUAUUUUAUUAAUUCUCUGAGAAUUUAAUAUAAUGUCUCUUAAUUUUUUUAUUCUCAUAAAUGUAUACUGUAUUUGCAUCAUUACACACACCCGCAAACACAUACACUCCUAGGCCUCACCAUUUGCAAAUGUCCUUUUUCUGUUCUACAGGACACUACCUCGGCUGAUCUGUUCCUAAUCAUGAAGAUCUCAGCCCUUGCCCUCCGGGAAGAGAGAAUAUUAUGAAAUGUAAGUGAUGAUGUUAUCAAUUUGGGCCGUUAUCUCAUCGUUUCAAUUGUGUCAUUACAGAAGGUAACUGGAUGUCAGCAGGCCCUAUAUUCCGGUGAUGAUAAUAAUGUUCUACGAACCCACAUUAAUUCAAUUGAGCACAAAUGAAGUACAAGAACAAAGUGGUCCUUUCCCUCAUUUUCAAAAGUUGAAUUGAACACCCCUUCCCUGCUGGAGGCUGCUCCUGAGGGAGUUGUGCUUGCGGGUAUACAGUCUCACGGUGUGCCUGUUCACGUUAAAGGCGUGAAGCUGAAUGCGAAUGGGCUGAUGAUGUAAAGGGAAGGCAUCUGAGGGAACCCUGUGAUCUCUGUGCGCAACUGAAGUCCGUCGCAUGAAAGGGUUAGUGGGCCAUGUGGUGAGACUGCCUGAAGUAAAGCUUAAGAACCUACCUUUGGCGUUGGUGAGGGCUCAUACACAGUGAUUUUGUGCAGAGACUGAAUAAAUGUCUCGAUCGAUACAAAUAUUCGGGAGGAAGUAAAGUGAUCCCAGUAUGUGGACCGAUUUUUUAAAGCAUGAAUUAUUAAUUUAGUUCUGGAAUGUCUUGGUCCAUUCAGCUUGAAAUGCUAACGGUUCCUUGGUAUUUAAUUCGUUAUGGGAAAAAGUUAAGCAAAUAGAUGAAGGUUAAUUAAACGGAAGAGUGUGCAGAGUGACACCGAGGCCAGCUCAUGCUUCUCUGUAUGCUUCUCUAUACUCAGUAGAAUGGAUGCACAUGGGAUCCUUUCCUCAACACUUCAGGACAGAGGUCCCAACAUUGACAGUGUGGUCAAGGGCAGUAUAGAUAUAGGUGAGUAGCAGACCGAGUUUCUGCUCUUGCUUGUCCGUUUUGUUACAGAUGAUCACUGUCUGUUUAAAAUUGACAUUAUGUGUCAUAUAGUCAAAGAAGACAACACAUAUACUAGGUGGUCCUGUUUGCACAAAUGAGACCUAUACACAGUAAGCUUGGACUGCUUUCUGGAACAGAGAGAUCACAGAUACGCUCUAAUUGCAGGCAAAGACCAUGUUCUUGUUAAGAAAAUGAAAUAGAUGUAAGCGUACCCACCCUGGAAUUGUAUAAUAAAAGGAAGACUUGUUUAAGUAGGGCCAUGUAGUGUGUUCUGCUAAAGAAGUCUAAAGAAAACUGUAGAAACCAAUUCCUCCUGACCUAUAUGGCUGUAGAUUCUUUUUUGUUGACUUUCUUUUUGAAAAUGUAUGACUAAAUUAAUAAGGAAAUAUUCACACCCAGAAAUUUUAAAUAAUUGAGAUAUUCCCAUGAGAACUUUUGCCAUGAAAUAAGAACUAUGAUCAACUCUCUUCUUUUCCUCUUAAACCCAUUUAACCCAAAAGAUUUCGUCUGUUGCCUUUGUGUAUAAGGGAGCCCCAAAUACAUAUUAAAUACUCAGUUUAAGGGUUCUUUCUUUGUACCUUGUGGACUUGUCACUAUUGAGUAAACCAGUCUUUUAUAAAGUAAAUUGGAAGUGGACCAGUCACGGGCUAGUGAUUAAAAUGUUUUGAGAUAAGUACUAUGAUUAUAGUUCUUAGCCAAUAACAUCUAUGAAAGGAACUAUUGUCUCUCUUGUCUUUGUUUUUAUAGAACAUGGUGAAUAUGGCCACUUUGUAUGUACCAGUAAGAUGGGGUUUUUUAUAUUCUUUCACCAAACUGAUGGGCAUUUUCCUAUCUCGGGCACAAAUUCUAGUGAGCUGAUGUGUUUGCUGGUUUGUUAGGAGGUUCUAAUGCUCCCUGAUUUUUAUUUGCUGAUACUUAGUAUCUGAGAAUGCUAAAACAAUUAGUAAUAAGAGUAUUAAUUUCUUCUCAAUAACUAUUGACUUUCAUCCUUGUCAGACCUUGUGUCAAACAUGGAGUCCAUACAGGAGCCUGCUCUAGUAACUCUAUGGGAUUGGUUAAUACCAGCUCACACACAAUGUAACAGAACAAGUAUACAUGUGGUCCAGAAAUGCAGAGUUCUCUGCUCAAUUUAAAUUAUGUAUACUGUAUGAGAGGGGGCAUUACUAUGCUGUGAGGUCUUUCACAACCUCAACUGUCAGCCAGGAGCACAUGAAAUGUUUGUUGAAUGAGUAGGUGAAUCAAUGAUAACAAAAAGAAUGGAUAAAUAAAUAAAACAAUGAAUGAAUGAACGAUUCUUUGAGGAGUUAAAAAAAGGAAAGAAUGAAGUCAUGAAAAAAUCAAGGAUUGUGCCAAGAGCAGAUUAACAAUACACUAAUUAGUGACUAAGUUAAAAAGUGAAUGAGUACAUGGAAUGUUUGUGAGUAGAUACAUUAAUAAGCAGGCCAGCAUGGAAUGAGUGAGUGAUGAACAAUGAAGCCAGUGAGUUAAUGAAUGAAAGACAAACAUACCAGUGAGUCAACCUAGGAGAAGUGAAUGGGCAAUCUUGAGUGGAUCAGUCAGUCCAUGGAUUCCUGAAUGGAUUUAUGAAUGAUUGGAUACGUAGACUUCAUCUGUAAUGAAGGGAUAAAUGAAGCAGGGAGUCAGUGUUUGUGUCAUUAAUGAGAGGAAAAGUUACUGUUUACCUGAAUGAAUGAAUGAAUGAAUGAAUGAAUGACUCACUCAAUGAUGUGUAACUGAGUGACUCAUUAAAAGGAAAGAAAAUCAUUAUAACAACUGCAUAAUAAACAUGUAACUGAAAGAAAUGAUAAAUGAACAUGUAAAUGAAAAGUCCAAGGGGUAGAUGAAUGAAGAUAUCAUAGUUAAUGAAUAAAAUAAUUGAUUAGGACACAAAUUAGUCAGCAAGUAUGUAAUUAAAGAAUAAGUUAAGUUGUAGUGAAUGAAUGACUGAACAAGUGAAUUAGUUGAUGUAUGAAUGAGUCAGCUGUCUGGGCGUGAGGCAAUGAAUGAACUCGAAGCUACUCUUUCUCUGUGUUCCAAGGAGAGUGACCACGCCCAGCUCCACACCAGUUGUAAAUACUUGAGCCAGAGCUCCCUGCUUUCUCUAUCAUGGGCGUUUGUUUACAUGUCAGCCCUAAACUAAAGAGCCUUGAGGGCUGGGAACUGGGUCAAAUUCUUCUCUCUAUCCAUAGCCCCGGCCCAGCCUUGAGCCUGGUAGGCGCCCAGUAAAUUAUUACUGAAUGAGUGAGCAAAGGACUAAAAAUACAUGUGCUUUUGUGGAACCAGUAUGGCCUGGUAGCUGCUCUUUGGAAGAGUGUGCUAUGUGUCAGAUGGUCUGUGGCAUCCCUCCCUGCAAGACCAGAUUCUCGCCAGGACCCAGCUUUCUGUGCCAGAAAAUGAGACAGGAUACUGGCAGUUCUGACUGCCCGGGACACUGGCCCAUCCUUGGGUAACUCUGGCUUGGCAUGGUGGAAUGGAAGCCCUGGGUCUUCCCGAAAGCUACCCUUGCCUCUGCCAAAACAGGAGAUCAAAAAUAACUGAGGCUUGUUUUUAUGCCUCUGCUGAGUGGGCGCAUGCCUUGCCUUUCCAAGCAAACCAAAUUCCUCUUGCUUCUAAUCAUGGGACUUUGGGUUUAAUGAGAAGCACCUUCCCACAGUCAGCCUCCUGUUCUGUCCAGCUACAGGAGGACAAUGAUACCUUCCUGAGGGAUUUGUACCUUUCCCAGGAGCUUAUUGUAGGGUAGUUAGUGAUACUUCACGUUUUUCAUGUCUGUGGCUUCAUACCUGGGAGGGAAGAGAUACCUUACAGAAUUUAAAAAUUACUGUUCUGGCUGUAUUUAUUUGACCCUUUCAGUUAUGUUCGUCUAAAGCUAUGCUUAUGUUACCCAGAUCCUCAUAGCCUAGAAGACUAGAGAGGUCAACCAAGUUCUAAGAGGGAUAGCAGAUGAGGCAAGCCUGUCAAGAAAAGGCACAACAUGCCCUUCUACCAGAGAACAGAUGAUUUAAAAAGUAUGUUGGCAGCACUUUUACUCUAUAUGGGACACUUGCCUAAGAUCCAGCAUCCAUGGUUCCUUCCUUCUCUCUGCUCCCUCCCUCCCUCCCUCCCUCCCUCCCUCUUUCUUCCCUCCUCUCUUUGAGCGAGUAUGUGUCUAGCAAUACCAUAGGCCUGACUCCAGACAUUCUUUCUUUCUUGCCAUGGUGGUCCCUGACCCCGGACGCCAGCCCUCAUUCCCAGUUCUGCAUCCGCCCUUUGGACUCAGUGAUGAUGUAUAGGAUCACCCUCGAGGAUUUGAUUACAGUUCACACUAUCCAUCCUACUUCAGACCAACUCAGGUAAAUCCCUACCUUCCUAAUGUUCACAUCUGAGUCUCAAAUUUUGACUCAUUUCAUUUGAUGGUUUACCAUCUGAGAACACUCUGGACCCCCAUGAGAAGAGCUCAGACUGUGUUUGUGGCAGUUUGUAACCCCUGAAUGUUGUGCCUUGGCAAGCACUGAGUGCUACAGGCUAGAGUCUAAAGCUUUGCUUUAAGGGUGGUACACACAUAGAAGACACCACAGUUAAGUUCCCCCUUGUUGCCCAGAAUUUUCUGGGUAAGCAAAGUAACCAAUCUUAGAACAUUCAACAACUUCAAAAUAGCCUUAGUUGUUCUUGGAAUUAUGUCACCGUCAUUAUCACCACCACUACCACUGGUGCCACCAUCAUCACCAACACCAUGAUCACUACCACUAUCACAACCUCUGUCGCCACCAUUCCCACCAUACCAUCGCUACCACCACGAUCACCACCGCUACCCCCAACAUCAUCACAAUCAUCACAGCCAUCGCCAUCGUCACUAACAUUGUCCCCAUCAUUACAGCCAUCAUCAGUAUCAUCAUAACUACCACCACCUACCAUGAUAGCCACCUCCAAUAACACCACUGUUACCACUAACACUACCAUCAAAAACCAUCACCACUAUUACCACCAUCACCAUUACCAGCAACAAUAGCAUCAUCACUACCACCACAACCAUCAUAACCAUCACUGCUAUCAACAAUGCCAUCAACUCCAGUAACACCAUCACUGCCAUUAUUAACACAACCACCACUACCACCAUGACCAGCACUAUCAACAACAGUGCUUCGACCAGUAUAACUAUCACGAUCAUCAUCACUACCAUAAUCACUACCACCACCACCACCACCACCACCACCACCACCACCACCACCAACGUAGCAACAAUACUACACUAACACCACCACUGCCAUCAUGGCCACUGCCAAUGUCAGUGAGACUUCUCCCUCAUCUUGCCCUGAGAUGUAUCACCCAUGUUCUGUGCUCUUACUUAGCGUUGACUUUGACACAUAUUCAGAGAUACCACAUUGGUCACAAAUGACCUGUUUGGGUAUGCACCACUCCAAGCAGACCCUGCCAUCCCUGGACUUGAACUUGAUGAUCUCUGACCUCUGCUGCCCAGAACAGAACUUGGUAUAAAACUUGAGCAUGGAGAUUGCUGGGGAAAGGUAAAGAUCAAUGAAGGCAAAACACAUGAUUGUAUGCCCAUCCUGAGUCCAGAGUAUGUGUCCGACUCAAGGUCCUGUAUCCCCCAAGCACAGAUAGUCCCUGCUCGCUGCUGGGGCCUGCCCUCCUCCUCCAGCUCCACUCAUCCUUUGCCUGUCCCUUUCUAGAAGAUGUGUAACCCUAAUCCUUGAAAUUGCCUGGCAUGAAUUUUAUUCCCUGCUUAAAUAAAUCUCACUCCCCCACGAAGUUUGGACAGGAUGCAGGCAAUCAGACUAGGGUUUGGAACCGAAAGUUUUGCAAAAGACCUCUUUCAAAAUUUGAAACCCCAUGGUCACAGGCCAGAGCUGAGUCUGACUUGGGAGAAUGUAUGUUCUGUGACCCCCUCCCAAAGGAAGAGAGGGAGUGAAGGCUAAAACAAGUCCUCCUGUCACUGAGCCCAUGGACGAUUUGCAAGGCUGAAAACCCUGUGAUUUAGUUCUGUUUCUCUGAUGGAACUGGAGAGAGAUUGGUCCCCUCCCUAGCUCUUCUUUCAAGCUUUUGGCAAAAGCCUCAAUCCUCCCCUAACCGGCAAGGAGACUAGGCCUAAAAAAAUCACGGAGAGUGCAUGGCAUGGAUAGGUGUAGUUUUCUGGCCCAGGCUAGGUGGGGUGUAGGGGUAGGACCAGUGCAAACUGUGUCACAAGGCCUCACUUUUCCAAAGGAAGGAAUGAUUAGGAGACCUGGUAUUUUCUUUCUUCACCCAGGGAGGUACCCUUGUGUAUCCUUGGAGAAGUCCCAGAACUCAACUGUAAGAAACAAGUUGGUUUCUUUUCGCUGUUGGUCAUAUGUAUCUCCUACUCCAUGUUAUGUGGGCAUGCUCUGCCUGGCAGACUGCUAGAAGCAGGCAGAAGCUCCCCCAGAUAGAGGGUGUGUUUUUCCAUCUCUUCAAAGUCUUCAAGGCCCACCUGUGUCUGCACCUCUACCUCCAGAUGGAGUGAAACAUGCUGACCUCUUUGGCACAGCUCCUUUGGCCUGCCUCUCAAGCUCCCGGGAGGACUCAGCAUUUUUCUUUGGCUUUUAUAAAGAGAGACAUUGCUUCCCUUCAUCAGAUAAUUGAGCUGAACCUAGUGAUUGCCUAGUCCCGCCUCAGUUUUCCCACGUGUAAUAGGGACACCAUGGUAACAUGAGUUCUCCCUCACUAUUUUAGCUUUUGAAGGAGCUAAGGAUUGUUUCUCCUGGCCUAGACUUAGGUGCAUACUUCCUUCUUCCCAUCCUCUCAGGUCCCCCUGCAUGCUUGCUCUUAAUUUCGGAUCCAGUUGAUGAUAUUUUAUUGCCCCUUAAAUUCACCCACUCUCCCACCAUUGUCUUUUAGGACUGUGUAGAAGUCAUUCUUCCCGUUACCAGAGCCCAUUCUCAGCAUAGUUCUGGUAUCAUCAGUGGCUGGAGACCGUGGCUAGUUCCCCGGCCAGCUCUAGAGCUCCCUUCCUUCAGCUGUCCCUUCAUCUCUGCUGCAUGGGGUAUUUUUGAGCUCCUGGCUUCAUUUAGUGAUGUACCUAACAACUAUGAUGGUCUCUGAGGAGCCCAAAACCACAGGUCAGAUCUCAGACUUCUUAAAAAAAAAAAAAACUGAACAAUUUUGUCUUUCUUAGAGAACUCCCUGCCAUUUCCUCACAGUCUAGGCCCUAUUCUUCUUCAAAAACAAAGGCUUAGAUGAGCAGAGGGAACCCAGCUCUGUCUUCAUACCUGGGGUGUGUCUCCUUUCUCCUUAGCCACCUUCAGAGGUAGUCAUCUUGUGUGGGGCCUAGACAUUUUUGUCUCUACUCAGAGCCUCGCUCUUUCUAGCUUCCAUCCUACUUUAUUUGUAUUGUAACAUAGUUUAUGAUUUGCUCAUUGGAAUAACAGAGCUUAGGUAACUCCCAGCUUAGUGACCAUUCUGAAAGCCAUAUAGAGAAGCAUCUGGAAUAGUUCUUCCUGCCAGUACCCAACCCAAAUAGCAUUUUUCCAAAGACAAGGCACACAUAGAUUACAGCCUAGCAGCAGGGUUCCCUUCUCUUUCUUUUGUGUAGAAUCAGAGUCACCCCAUACCCUAUUCUGGCUCUCUAAGCUCACCUCACCCCAAAGCUUGGUUAUUGGCACUCAUUAGCUCCAGUAUGCUUUAUUCUGUGACUGUGGGGGCAGAUUCAGUGGGUACCCAACUGUCAUUAACCUUGGCCCAUUUUUCCCUAGCAAUGAGAGCCACGGAGCUCAACUCUUGGGCCAAGAAUGAUGUGGCCAGAACUAUCACACUCCCAGGAUCCAAGCAAGCUGCUGGGCCCUAAAUUCUCAGAUAAUAAGAGCCUGUGAAAUGCACCCAUAGUGGUCACCAAGUGGAUGGGACAGUGACCACAUAGGAAGCAGUGGACUCUGGAGACAUAAGUCACGGUCCCCUGAAACAGAACCUUUAGAGGCUUGGUUGCCUGAUCCAGCUUCCUGUGAGGACAAAUGCCAGGGGAGCAGUGCCAAUCUUGCUGGGUAAGCUCUACUUUUUCUGGUUACUCUCAAUGCUGUGUGUCAGGGACAAGACAAGACUUGAUAUGGUGGCUGCUUGGAUUGUAAGCACUGAAAGAUGAGCUUUCCAAGUGAGCUGGAAUGUCUGUACAGCCUGUGGGGAGGCCAGGUACACUGGCUCCUCCUGGAGAGUAGCAGUAGCUACUUCUGGCAGUGGCUUCUCUGAGUGGAAGGCAAGAAUGGCCAGACAAGUCCCCCAUUUCCACAUCUUUGGUCAUCACAGAUGACUUGAUACCAGGAGCCUUUCUAGCAGCUCGAGCUGGGGCUUGGGAUAACCUCUGUUCCCCCCACCUGUAGUAUUUUUUAAAAUGAUGCAAACAAGACAGAUGUCAUGGUGUGCACUUGUGACCCCAGCUCUGGAGAGGCUGAAGCUGGAGCAUUGCAGGUUUCCAGCCAGCCUGGCCUUUAGACAGUUGCAUUUUAUGACCUACAGACUCCCAAGGGGAAACAAAAAAGCAGGAGCCAUGUGUGGCUCUCCUCUAGAAGAUACUAAGCUAAGAAAUCACAUUUAUCAUGUGAUAUUUAAAAAAAAAAAUAUUUUCUCAUUUCAUAGAAGUUCCUGUUCUUUGGAAAAACAUGAAAAAUAUGGGGAGGUGACAAAAUUUUCAUAGCCAUGCCACUCAAAGAUAGCCACUGCCAACUUUGGCUAACAGUGUUUGGUUUUUGGUUUAUUCCUAUAGUGUGUGUGUGUGUGUGUGUGUGUGUGUGUGUGUGUGUGUGUGUGUGUGUGUGUGUUUAAUUGAGCUCAUCAUUGCUAUUUUUUUCUCAUCUGCUUAUGUAUCCUAAACACUGCCCCAUGCCAUUCAGUAAUUUCUCAUCUUUGGUUUUUUUAAUGGUCAUGUAGGAGUCUAGCCAGUGACUACAAUUGACAAAAUUGGUCUGUGUGUGUCCAUCUGCAGACAGAUGCAAAGUUGGGUGGCGGAUGUUAGGAGGCUUCUCUACAUGCUAUUCCUUCACAAUUCUGACCGGUAUCUUGCUGUUCUUUGUGUAAGCCAGUGGCUCUGUCAGGAGACAUGAGCACAUGGCCAAAUUACCCUCUGCAAACUUUUUGCCCAUUAUGUUUCCAAAAUUAGUUUGAGAAAGUGCCUGCUGCUCUGGGAAUUAUCAGAGUUUUUAACCUUUGCUGAUUUGUCAAAACAUGGCAUUUCACCAUUUCCAUCCCCACAGCUUUUAUCACAGUGGCACAGAAUACUUUUCCGCCCUCUUUGUGGGGUAUUUGUAUCUAAAUUGCCAGCUCAGGCUCCUUGCACUUUUCAUUAUUCCUUUAGUUUUUGUGUUUUUUUGUCAAACUCAUGCAUACACAUCAUUUUAAGAGCCAGAUCCUUCUACAAGGUUGUCAAGGAAGCAUCAGCCCUCCCACCCUCCCGGCUCCACCCGAAUAUUAUGCGUUACCUGUAACUGCUUUAACUGAUUCUCUUGACAUUUACAUCCAUAACGCUAAGUAACAUUCUUGUUUUUCUGCUUCUUGAUUUUCUUUCUUUGUGUGUGUGAUUUUUUUUUAAGCUUAGGCAUCAUUCUGAUUGUUCUAUUGUUGAAGACAAGCAUUUAACCCUCUUUUACAUAUGCCCUUGUCUUCACCCCGCACACACACCCCUGUACUGUCCUCCCAAUAGAUUAUUUUGAAAUGUUGGUUUGAUCAAUACACAAGAGUUUACACCCCUCUAAGAGUGUGACUAUGUCCACAAAGAUGAACAAUGUCCCGAGUAUUCAUCUCCUCCCUUUUUCUGGAGAGGGAGAGAGAGAGAGCGCUUUUCUCAUUGGUUGUUUAAUUUUGUCUUGGUUUAAGUGCGGCUCAGGAUAAUACAAACAGGAGUUGUUUAAGACACAUGCAUACCAUGGUGAAGUUUCGUUUUGGAGUCAGCUUUUCUUUCUUCUCGUGGGCUAACUUUACACUGCCACCAUCUUCGUUUUCCCGUCUUCUCCUCCUGGGGAUAGGUUCUUUUGGUUUUUUUUUUUUCUCCCUAGAUGGGUUCUUGGCUUUUAUAGAUACCAUGCUAUCUGUUUUGGGGGUCACUCUUCUGUUUUGCUAGAGUUUCAAGAGAAAAGGUUCAUGGGAAGUAAACUUUUUAAGACCUUUCACAUUUGAAUAGGAAAAUGUCUACAUUGUCAUUGGUAACUCAGCAGCUGGGUAUAAAAUUCUAAGUAAUGGACUUUCCCCUCAGAUUUUCAGAGAUACAUAGACUUAGAAAUGGGAAAACAAUGUCAAAGAAAACAGUUUAGAAACUCUGAGGAUAAGAAAAUGAGAGAGAGAGAGAGAGAGAGAGAGAGA